UACGGGGGGGGCAAGCGUUGUUCGGAAUUACUGGGCGUAAAGGGCGCGUAGGCGGCCUACUAAGUCGGGGGUGAAAUCCUGGAGCUCAACUCCAGAACUGCCUUCGAUACUGGAAAGCUCGAGUCCGGGAGAGGUGAGUGGAACUGCGAGUGUAGAGGUGAAAUUCGUAGAUAUUCGCAAGAACACCAGUGGCGAAGGCGGCUCACUGGCCCGGUACUGACGCUGAGGUGCGAAAGCGUGGGGAGCAAACAGG
rnacentral:rRNA from 1 species